rnacentral:rRNA from 1 species
GACGAACGCUGGCGGCGUGCUUAACACAUGCAAGUCGAACGGAAAGGCCCUGCUUGCCGGGUGCUCGGGUGGCGACCGAGUGAGUAACACGUGGGUGAUCUGCCCCCUACUAUGGGAUAAGACUGGGAGACUGGGGCUACUACUGGAUAGGACCAUGCUGCAGCUGGUGAGGUGGAAAGAAAAGAUUCGGUAAGGGUUGAGCUCGCGGCCUAUCAGCUUGUUGGUGGGGUACUGGCCUACCAAGGCGUCGACGGGUAGCCGGCCUGAGAGGGUGGACGGCCCCGUUCGGACUGCGACACGAGCCAGCAGCCUGCGAGAGGCAGCAGUGGGGGAUAGUGUACCGUGGCAGCAAGCCUGAUGCAGCGACGGCGCGUGGGGGGUGACGGCCUUCGGGUUGUAUACUCCUUGCAGCCAUGACGAAGCCCUUGUGGUGACGGUAGUGGUAGAAGAAGCACCGGCUAACUACGUG